UUAUCGGAUUUAUUGGGUUUAAAGGGAGCGUAGAUGGAUGUUUAAGUCAGUUGUGAAAGUUUGCGGCUCAACCGUAAAAUUGCAGUUGAUACUGGAUGUCUUGAGUGCAGUUGAGGCAGGCGGAAUUCGUGGUGUAGCGGUGAAAUGCUUAGAUAUCACGAAGAACUCCGAUUGCGAAGGCAGCCUGCUAAGCUGCAACUGACAUUGAGGCUCGAAAGUGUGGGUAUCAAACAGGAUUAGAUACCCUGGUAGUCCACACGGUAAACGAUGAAUACUCGCUGUUUGCGAUAUACGGCAAGCGGCCAAGCGAAAGCGUUAAGUAUUCCACCUGGGGAGUACGCCGGCAACGGUGAAACUCAAAGGAAUUGACGGGGGCCCGCACAAGCGGAGGAACAUGUGGUUUAAUUCGAUGAUACGCCAGGAACCUUACCCGGGCUUAAAUUGCACUCGAAUGAUCCGGAAACGGUUCAGCUAGCAAUAGCGAAUGUGAAGGUGCUGCAUGGUUGUCGUCAGCUCGUGCCGUGAGGUGUUGGCUUAAGUGCCAUAACGAACCCCACCCUUGUUGUUAGUUACUAACAGGUGAUGCCUGAAGGACUCUGACAAAAUGCCAUCGUAAAAUGUUAGGAAGGUGGGGAU
rnacentral:rRNA from 1 species